rnacentral:rRNA from 1 species
AGUGAACGCUGGCGGUAGGCCUAACACAUGCAAGUCGAACGGCAGCACAGUAAGAGCUUGCUCUUACGGGUGGCGAGUGGCGGACGGGUGAGGAAUACAUCGGACUCUACUUUUUCGUGGGGGAUAACGUAGGGAAACUUACGCUAAUACCGCAUACGACCUACGGGUGAAAGCAGGGGAUCUUCGGACCUUGUGCGAUUGAAUGAGCCGAUGUCGGAUUGGCUAGUUGGCGGGGUAAAUGCCCACCAAGGCGACGAUCCGUAGCUGGUCUGAGAGGAUGGUCAGCCACACGGGAACGGAGACACGGUCCAGAGUCCUGCGGGAGGCAGCAGUGGGGAAUAUUGGGCAAUAGGCGCAAGCCUGAUCCAGCCGUACCGCGUGGGUGAAGAAGACCUUCGGGUUGGAAAGCCCUUUUGUUGGGAAAGAAAAGCAGCAGGUUGAUACCCCGCUGUUCUGACGGUACCCAAAAAAUAAGCACCGGCUAACUUCGUG